ACGGUCCUUCUUAGAAGCAUCUAAUGCUCGAGUUGAUUUUGAAUUAUCUCUACUCUUUUAAGAGACUUAGUGAUUAUGGUUUUUGUUUUGAAAACACAAAAUAUCAAUGAAGAAUUUAAGUGUGUAGUGUACGGAAGGACAAGUGUUUAAUAUCAACCAUCGAAUUUAAGAGUAAAAUGGCUGAUUAAAUAUAUCGGCCGUGUGUGAAGCUAAGUUCAUAGUAAGUUCCUACAAAAAUAUAAGUGAACGACCCGAUAAACGCAGUGUACAGUCCAUAUUGCGCGGGAAGGCCUGCUAAACCCGCGUAAGCUAUAGAUUGAGGCAUCAUUGUUAAUCCAACAGUUAAACCAGCUAUUAGGUCAGCUAAAAUGUCAUCUCUACUAUAUUUAGGUAACCAUCGAAGAAUAAAUAGUCGACUGUACAACUGCCGUUUGAUUUUUUCCAUUAAAGACGAUUUUGUUUUUGUAUUUUUACCCACUAAAAUAAUAUCAUUAAUAAUGGGAUCAAAAUAGGAAAAUUAAUCACAUUCUAACUAUAUGAGAGUUUCAAUAAGUGCACUGAACAAAAAUUUAAGAAAUUAUUGCUACAAACCUAAUGUUUAUUGUGAUUAUUUUUCCAAAAAUUCCAAUAAAUUCUAAUUACUUACUUUUCACAUAAAUCGUCUCUUCUCUAUUAAAUGAGCACCGCAGAAAUAACGUAUACUUUCAUUUUACAUAUAUCUUUUCAUUUUUAAGUAAACAUUGAAAUAAUUCUGACAAACAUUACUCUUUAAUCCCUUAGUUAAUAAACUUUAUGCCAAAAUUUGUUUAAUGUACAAUGGCGUUUUAUAAUACAGUGUCGAAUGUAUAAAUAUGAUUUAAUUUUUUAUUAUCAACACACUGUCAUUAAAAAUACACACGAUAAGUUUCCGAUUUAUGAUAUUUAACACAAAAUUAUAUUAUUAUCAUUUAUACAUAUGGGCUUUUCUAAAACUAUCCAUUGAUUCUAGAAAAUGUGCAGAAUAACCUAUUUUGACUAAAUCACAAAUGAUAUGUUUGGGGAAUUUAAAGAUUAAUCUAGGAAUAAUUAGUAUUGCUAUAAAGAUAGUUAUAAUUAUGUACAUCAACAAAUUAAUUUAAUUAGUUAAAUCUCCCAACAGUGUAACUAACCUAUACUUCCUUUCAAAAUAUUUGACUGGAAUAUUUGUAAGUAAUUGAAUUCUAGCUAUUUGAAAAUUGGAAAUAAAAAACCUUAUUAUAGUUAUAA